GGGCCUAUAGCUCAAUGGUUAGAGCAGGGGACUCAUAAUCCCUUGGUUCAGGGUUCAAAUCCCUGUGGGCCCACCA
rnacentral:tRNA from 1 species